GCUCAUUUCUUUUCUUCUUCUCUCUAUACGUUGGUGUUCAAUCGCUAUUACGAUUUAUUUUCCGACCGAUCAAUAUAUCCAAUGGAUGUUUAAGUGCCGCCCACAUUAGGGUUAUACUUUGUCGUUCGUCGUUAAUUCGAUGAAUGUUUAAGUAUCGCACUUUGUCGUUCGUUGUGAGAAUUUGAUCUCGUGAGUUAUCGUAAAAGCUGUAUUGAUCACUAACCCAGUUUAUAAGACUAUACUUUGUGGAAUUCGUUAAGGUUCGAAUCUCGUGACUACCGUUAAGGUUUGAUUUGGGUUUUACACAAAUACGUAUUCCAUUCUGUUCAACUAUGUAUUUAACUACCAAGAAUACUCCCAACUACACCCUUACAAUCAAACAAACUAUUAAAUCAUCAGAAGAUCCAGAAUAAUAAAGUGCAUGCUUAAUUAUCGGAAGAAGUAGAAUCAAGAAGUUUGUUAACUCAAUCCUGCAUGCUGAUUUGUAAUUACAAUAGAUCGGAGUAAGGAUUGGAUCCGACACUGAAGGACUUCAAGAAGUGGCUUAUUUUAUUAAUUAAAUCAACUUAAGAAAUAUUGUUUUUGGGUUUAUCCCGUAUUAAAAGCUACCUUUGAAAAACAUGGAAUUUAUUCCAUCUAUUUAAAUAAAAAUCCGGUGUUUCUAAAACUCUGAUAAUUUUCCUAACUCACGGUCCUGAUGAAAUUUCCGCUGCAAUGUUUUUAAAAAUAAUCACCGGUACCACUUGACUGCUCGCGACUUCCGAUUCCGGCCAGGAUGGGGUCGGGGGUCGUGACAAAUCAACACAAUCAACAACAAAUCAAUCUACACUUACCAAUUUGCCAAAAUCAAGCAUAAACUACUACCUCAUGAACUUAAAAAUUUACAAAAAUGUGUAGUAACUUACUAAUGUGUUUAGUAAGCUUAGUUACUCUUUAAAGUGUGGUUUUUUAUUUAGAAACUUCAUAUUUGAAGAAAUUAGAUCUUCACAACUUGUAAAUCAUUUUUCUAAAAAUAUUUCUUCUUGGAUUUUUCUUGUUAAAUACAUGAUCCUACACUUGAUUAACCACUAAAAUGUGGUUAAUUCCUUUAAGAACCAAGAUUAAGUAAACUUUGUAUUUUUAACUUGAUUUCUUGAAAAAUCAUCCUUAAAAUCAUAGAUUUACAAAACUUUACACUCACUUUAUUCAUCACUUUACAAGAAAAACAACUUAUACUUUCAAGUUCAUGAUUUACAUAUGGAUGAUUACUUUGAUCUUAACAUAAUCAUCCUGUCAUCUUGCUAGAUUAUGUCUUUAAUCACUAUCUAGCAAGAUCACAUGAUGAUCUACAUCAAUAACAUGAGCAAACAACAAUCAACAAGCAUAACAACACAUAAACAUCAUGAUUUCUUAUGUAUUUAGUCUUAUGUUCAAGUUUCAAGUUCAAGAUUCUUAGUGUUCUUCAUGAUGAACAACUUGUAUCUUCUUUUAACCACCAAAAUAAGAUGUAAAAUGAAGAGUAUAAUGAUCUUACUAGUAGCUCAAGGCUAGGGAUGAUCACUAGAUGAAAAUGGAGUGGAUAAAAGCACAAGAGAAAGGUCCUUCAACUUCCAAGAACUCCAAGCUUCCUUGUACACCUUCUAACACCUUUGUAUAUGUGUGGAUUGAAUGAAGAAUGAGAGAUGAUGAUGGAUGUAUGGGUGAUGGUGUUCGGCCGUAAGCAAGGGGAAAGGAAGAGAAGAAGUUCAAGUGUUGUAGUGUUGAUGAAAUGAAGUGUUAUGUUCUCUAAGGUCUUCUUAUAAUCCAUCACACAAGCUUUAUCUC
rnacentral:lncRNA from 1 species